rnacentral:rRNA from 1 species
GACGAACGCUGGCGGCGUGCUUAACACAUGCAAGUCGAACGGAAAGGCCCUGCUUUUGUGGGGUUCUCGAGUGGCGAACGGGUGAGUAACACGUGUGUAACCUGCCCCUGACUUUGGGAUAACUUCAGGAAACUGGGGCUAAUACCGGAUAGGAGCUCCUGCUGCAUAGUGGGGGUUGGAAAGUUUCGGCGGUUGGGGAUGGACUCGCGGCUUAUCAGCUUGUUGGUGGGGUAGUGGCUUUCCAAGGCUUUGACGGGUAGCCGGCCUGAGAGCGUGACCGGCCACAAUGGGACUGAGAUACGGACCAGACUGCUACGGGCGGCAGCAGUGGGGAAUAUGGCGCAACGGGCGGGAGCCUGAUGCAGCAACGCCGCGUGCGGGAUGACGGCCUUCGGGUUGUAAACCGCUUUCGCCUGUGACGAAGCGUGAGUGACGGUAAUGGGUAAAGAAGCACCGGCUAACUACGUG